AUGUACCUACGGGGCGCAGCAGUGAGGAAUAUUGGUCAAUGGGCGGGAGCCUGAACCAGCCAAGUCGCGUGAGGGAAGACGGUCCUAUGGAUUGUAAACCUCUUUAGGCGGGGGGCAAUGCCGGGCACGCGUGCCCGGAGGGAGAGUACCCGCAGAAUAAGCAUCGGCUAACUCCGUGCCAGCAGCCGCGGUAAUACGGAGGAUGCGAGCGUUAUCCGGAUUUAUUGGGUUUAAAGGGCGCGUAGGCGGGUUUUUAACUCAGCGGAAA
rnacentral:rRNA from 1 species